UACGAAGGGGGCUAGCGUUGCUCGGAAUCACUGGGCGUAAAGCGCACGUAGGCGGAUUUUAAGUCAGGGGUGAAAUCCUGGAGCUCAACUCCAGAACUGCCUUUGAUACUGGCGAUCUUGAGUCCGGGAGAGGUGAGUGGAACUGCGAGUGUAGAGGUGAAAUUCGUAGAUAUUCGCAAGAACACCAGUGGCGAAGGCGGCUCACUGGCCCGGUACUGACGCUGAGGUGCGAAAGCGUGGGGAGCAAACAGG
rnacentral:rRNA from 1 species